AUGGGUGCCGUCGUUGCCAAAUGGCUAGCCCUGAAUCGUACAAAAGGCCCCAUUUUUGGAGGUAUGUAUGCUGCACAUCUUGCUAGACAUUUUCAGAUACCCAUUAGGCACCAUGAGGAAGAGGAGACAACAUUGCCUCCUCACAUUUUAGAUUACAAGAGCAUGGUAGCACACAAGUUUAUUGUUGACAACGAAGAUAGGAUGCUCUUGUAUAAACUUAGAUUUAAUAAGAAACACUUUCAGAUUAUUAUUUUGCCUGCGCCUUUGUUGUUUGAUUUGCUUGUAGAAAAUUUUCUCGUCACACCGGAAGCGGUGAACAAUCAUCGAGCCCAAGAUUUUACUCCAGAACCUGAACCUGAACUGGACCCUUAUCGUGCAUUAUCUGUCCAGUGGGAUCCAGAGAUGAUCAGCCAGGCGAUCCUUGGUAUUAGACCAACUUAG
rnacentral:rRNA from 1 species